rnacentral:rRNA from 1 species
GCUGGAAGGUAAGGGGAACUGUGAGUGUGAUGCGUAGCGGUGAACUUAAGCCCCAGUAAACGGCGGUGGUAACUAUAACCAUCCUAAGGUAGCGAAAUUCCUUGUCGGGUAAGUUCCGACCUGCACGAAUGGCGUAACGACUUCCCCGCUGUCUCCAGCAGAGACUCAGUGAAAUUGAAUUCCCCGUGAAGAUGCGGGGUUCCUGCGGUUAGACGGAAAGACCCCGUGCACCUUUACUAUAGCUUUACACUGGCAUUCGUGUCGGCAUGUGUAGGAUAGGUGGUAGACUUUGAAGCU